rnacentral:rRNA from 1 species
GCCUACGGGACGCAGCAGUGAGGAAUAUUGGUCAAUGGUCGGGAGACUGAACCAGCCAAGCCGCGUGAGGGAUGAAGGUACAGAGUAUCGUAAACCCCUUUUGUCAGGGAACAAAGGCGGGGACGUGUCCCCGGAUGAGUGUACCUGAAGAAAAAGCAUCGGCUAACUCCGUGCCAGCAGCCGCGGUAAUACGGAGGAUGCGAGCGUUAUCCGGAUUUAUUGGGUUUAAAGGGUGCGCAGGCGGUCUGUUAAGUCAGCGGUCAAAGCCCGGGGCUCAACCCCGGCCCGCCGUUGAAACUGGCAGU